rnacentral:rRNA from 1 species
GGAUUCGAUGAGUUUGAUCGUGGCUCAGGACGAACGCUGGCGGCGUGCCUAAUACAUGCAAGUCGAGCGGAUCGAUGGGAGCUUGCUCCCUGAGAUCAGCGGCGGACGGGUGAGUAACACGUGGGUAACCUGCCUGUAAGACUGGGAUAACUCCGGGAAACCGGGGCUAAUACCGGAUAACAUUUUCCUCCGCAUGGAGGAGAAUUGAAAGGUGGCUUCGGCUACCACUUACAGAUGGACCCGCGGCGCAUUAGCUAGUUGGUGAGGUAACGGCUCACCAAGGCGACGAUGCGUAGCCGACCUGAGAGGGUGAUCGGCCACACUGGGACUGAGACACGGCCCAGACUCCUACGGGAGGCAGCAGUAGGGAAUCUUCCGCAAUGGACGAAAGUCUGACGGAGCAACGCCGCGUGAGUGAAGAAGGUUUUCGGAUCGUAAAACUCUGUUGUUAGGGAAGAACAAGUACCGUUCGAAUAGGGCGGUA